CUUUUCUGUGAAUAACAGAAAGAUUAUAGACCGAAAUGUAAAUAUUCCACCGAUUACCCAAUCCCCACUUCCUCCAAGCCGCAUGGCCUAUCGCCGGAGAAAUCCGUGCCGCACAGUCAACGCCGCACCGUCACCGUCGACGGGCGGCCAACAGCCAGCCCGACCAUGCCGGCGGGUCAUGCAACCGCACGUUGCCAAUGCCGCGCCGCCGCAUAGCCACGCGCUACACCGCCGCACCGCGCCGGGCAGAACCUCCGCUGCGCCAUGGGCCGCCAUGCGACCGGGAGAGCCACGCCAGGAGGUUUGGCUUCCGCCUCGCCUUGCGCGUGGACCGGGCUGCGCACUGAUCACAAGGCCUCGGCCGUGCGCCUGUUGCCUUUGCCGCCACGCGUGGACGCGGUCGCUGCCGCCACGCUCCGGUGGCCGACCAUGCCGCCGUGCAGCCGUGCUGCGCUGUUGUUGUGGCGUGUGAGGGCGCUCCCGUGCGUUCAGAGAGGCCACCGCUUGGAGCCGCCUCCCCGAGAAGUCGCCGAAGACGACCGUGGCUCUGUGCCUGAAGGGUGUGUCCUUGAUGGGUGAGGAGCUUAUAUUGAACACUUAUCCAGAUUUUGGUAUCCAGAACAUCAAACGGUGGUGCUCUCAUAUGAUGGACUCCCGACUUCAUCAAAACGUGAGUUGUUUGCUCGGUCACAUGGUCUUUGAGAAGAAAGAGGGAGUACUAAACUACAGCCUUCCAUGGUGUCUGGGCACUGUGAUUCUGGGCACUGCGAUCCUAGGGCGGAGCCACUGCUUGACAUAAUCCAUCUCACGUUACGUCCAAAAAUGCUGCAGUCUGCAUAAAUGACAUGAUGAUGUUAGUACUAAAUUUUAGAAGAACAAUAUGAGAGCAAAUGAUAAGUGAUAAAAAUGGUGUAUGUCCAAUCUGUAGUACCCGUUGAAGGUUCUAAAAUCCACUGAAAAGCCUGAGGUUCGCAGAAACUCAGCGUACCAUAUACUGGUUUCGUAUGGUACUUCAGGAUCAGCUGCAGAAACACCAAAGAAAGAAACCAUUCUUAGUA